rnacentral:lncRNA from 1 species
UUAUCUGCCUAUGCCCUACCAUGGAGAUGCCCUGCAUUGGAGUCUGCUCAUCAUCCCCUUUCUUGUGAGUAGAACCUUUGGUUUCUAGCUGGGCAAAUGGUAAUGUGCAAUGAACACCAUAUUUCCCAUUCCUCAGAUGUGGGAGGCAUGCAUGCCCUACCUCGGCUUCUGACCAAGGACAUGUGGAGGCUGUAUCCAAGGCUGCGGGGCCAAGAUGUAUAACAUUACACAAGAAGAGUGUCUGGAAGAGUUGACCUAUAAUUCAUCCACUCUCUUGUAUGACAGGAAGUCAGGGAGUCACAAGGUGUAUCUUGACUUGGCUGCACGUACACACAUGCAUGUGAGCACACAUGUGCACACGCAUAAGGCAUAAGAAGAAGACCCAACAGAAAUCCAUUUUCUGAAAUCUGACCAAAAAAAAAAAAAAUUAAAUAAGAAAACAGAAAAGGUACAGAGAAAAUAUUGUCUUGCUGACAAUGUCUAUGGUAUUCUCCGCUCACUGUCCAUUUCAUAAGCUGUAAGAUAACUCAACCCAAUUUUUGACCAGAGAAGAUUCUCGGGGUGUCCAGGCAAAUAUCAAGAAGGCCCAAAGAGAUAUAUCCUGAGAACUGCUGGAAAGAUAGAACACUAAAUAACUUCCUUCAUAAGAAUGUCUAAAGAGAAAAAGAAAAAGGAAAGAAAAAAAAAGACUGGCCAAACCAAAGAUAUUUAAAAUAAAGAAUGGAAGGAAACAUCUUACAACAAUAAAAUCUAAAAUGGCACUGAAAUAGGAUUAAAAAAGACUAAUCAGGCUGAAAAUAUAAAGGUUUUGUAUUUGGGACUGCUGUCUGUCUCUAUAAACUUACAAAUAGGGUCCUGCUCAAUACUUUAUUUGCAAUUAUUUUUCUCAUA